AUAAUAUAUAUAUUAUAUAUAUAUAUAUAUAUAUAUAUAUAUAUAUUACAUAUUACUGAAGGUAUUUUUCUAUCCUUAUGAAAAUUAGUCUUACACAUUUGUUGGACUAUUAAUGCAAAUUUGAACAUUACAUAUUCUACCUAUUCAAAUAGGUACUUUUCCUAUCCUUAUGAAAAUUACUUUCUACAUUUGUUGGCCUAUUAUUACAAAUUUGAAUACCCAUUCUAUUUAAAUAUGUACGACCUAUUCAAAUAAGUACUUUCUACCUAUUCAAAUAGGUACUUUUUCUAUCAUGAAAAUUGUUGUCCACAUUGGAAUAUUAAUGCAAAUUUGAACAUACCUAUUCAAAUAGGUACGACCUAUUCAAAUAGGUACGACCUAUUCAAAUAGGUACGACCUAUUCAAAUAGGUACGACCUAUUCAAAUAGGUACGACCUAUUCAAAUAGGUACGACCUAUUCAAAUAGGUACGACCUAUUCAAAUAGGUACGACCUAUUCAAAUAGGUACGACCUAUUCAAAUAGGUACGACCUAUUCAAAUAGGUACUUUUUCUAUCCUUAUGAAAAUUAUGGUUUUCCACGGAAUAUUAAUGCAAAUUUGAACAUAUACCUAUUGUACCUAUUCAAAUAGGUACGACCUAUUCAAAUAGGUAAGACCUAUUCAAAUAGGUACUUUCUACCUAUUCAAAUAGGUACUUUUUCUAUCCUUAUGAAAAUUAUGGUUUUACACGUUUGUUGGAAUAUUAAUGCAAAUUUGAACAUAUACCUAUUGUACCUAUUCAAAUAGGUAUGACCUGUUCAAAUAGGUAUGACCUGUUCAAAUAGGUACGACCUAUUCAAAUAGGUACUUUUUCUAUCCUUAUGAAAAUUAUGGUUUUGCACUUGUUGGAAUAUUAAUGCAAAUUUGAACAUAUACCUAUUCAAAUAGGUACGACCUAUUCAAAUAGGUACUUUUUCUAUCCUUAUGAAAAUUAUGGUUUUCCACUUUGUUGGAAUAUUAAUGCAAAUUUGAACAUAUACCUAUUCAAAUAGGUACUUUCUACCUAUUCAAAUAGGUACUUUUUCUAUCCUUAUGAAAAUUAUGGUUUUCCACGUUUGUUGGAAUAUUAAUGCAAAUUUGAACAUAUACCUAUUGUACCUAUUCAAAUAGGUACGACCUAUUCAAAUAGGUACUUUUUCUAUCCUUAUGAAAAUUAUGGUUUUCCACUUUUGUUGGAAUAUUAAUGCAAAUUUGAACAUAUACCUAUUCAAAUAGGUACUUUCUACCUAUUCAAAUAGGUACUUUCUACCUAUUCAAAUAGGUACUUUCUACCUAUUAGGUACUUUCUACCUAUUCAAAUAGGUACUUUCUACCUAUUCAAAUAGGUACUUUUUCUAUCCUUAUGAAAAUUAUGGUUUUCCACUUUUGUUGGAAUAUUAAUGCAAAUAGGUACGACCUAUUCAAAUAUGUACUUUCUACCUAUUCAAAUAGGUACUUUUUCCAUGAAAAUUAUGGUUUUCCACGGAGUAUUAAUGCAAAUUUGAACAUAUGCCUAUUGUACCUAUUCAAAUAGGUACGACCUAUUCAAAUAGGUAAGACCUAUUCAAAUAGGUACUUUCUACCUAUUCAAAUAGGUACUUUUUCUAUCCUUAUGAAAAUUAUGGUUUUCCACUUGUUGGAAUAUUAAUGCGAAUUUGAACAUAUACCUAUUCAAAUAGGUAUGACCUAUUCAAAUAGGUACUUUUUCUAUCCUUAUGAAAAUUAUGGUUUUCCACGUUUGUUGGAAUAUUAAUGCAAAUUUGAACAUAUACCUAUUCAAAUAGGUACGACCUAUUCAAAUAGGUACGACCUAUUCAAAUAGGUACUUUUUCUAUCCUUAUGAAAAUUAUGGUUUUCCACGUUUGUUGGAAUAUUAAUGCAAAUUUGAACAUAUACCUAUUGUACCUAUUCAAAUAGGUACGACCUAUUCAAAUAGGUAAGACCUAUUCAAAUAGGUACUUUUUCUAUCCUUAUGAAAAUUAUGGUUUUCCACGUUUGUUGGAAUAUUAAUGCAAAUUUGAACAUAUACCUAUUCAAAUAGGUACGACCUAUUCAAAUAGGUACGACCUAUUCAAAUAGGUACUUUUUCUAUCCUUAUGAAAAUUAUGGUUUUGCACUUUUGUUGGAAUAUUAAUGCAAAUUUGAACAUAUACCUAUUCAAAUAGGUACGACCUAUUCAAAUAGGUACGACCUAUUCAAAUAGGUACGACCUAUUCAAAUAGGUACGACCUAUUCAAAUAGGUACGACCUAUUCAAAUAGGUACUUUUUCUAUCCUUAUGAAAAUUAUGGUUUUCCACGUUUGUUGGAAUAUUAAUGCAAAUUUGAACAUAUACCUAUUGUACCUAUUCAAAUAGGUACGACCUAUUCAAAUAGGUAAGACCUAUUCAAAUAGGUACUUUUUCUAUCCUUAUGAAAAUUAUGGUUUUCCACGUUUGUUGGAAUAUUAAUGCAAAUUUGAACAUAUACCUAUUCAAAUAGGUACGACCUAUUCAAAUAGGUACGACCUAUUCAAAUAGGUACGACCUAUUCAAAUAGGUACUUUUUCUAUCCUUAUGAAAAUUAUGGUUUUGCACUUUUGUUGGAAUAUUAAUGCAAAUUUGAACAUAUACCUAUUCAAAUAGGUACGACCUAUUCAAAUAGGUACUUUCUACCUAUUCAAAUAGGUACUUUCUACCUAUUCAAAUAGGUACUUUUUCUAUCCUUAUGAAAAUUAUGGUUUUCCACUUGUUGGAAUAUUAAUGCAAAUUUGAACAUAUACCUAUUCAAAUAGGUACGACCUAUUCAAAUAGGUACGACCUAUUCAAAUAGGUACGACCUAUUCAAAUAGGUACUUUCGACCUAUUCAAAUAGGUACUUUUUCUAUCCUUAUGAAAAUUAUGGUUUUCCACGUUUGUUGGAAUAUUAAUGCAAAUUUGAACAUGUACCUAUUGGACCUAUUCAAAUAGGUACGACCUAUUCAAAUAGGUACGACCUAUUCAAAUAGGUACGACCUAUUCAAAUAGGUACGACCUAUUCAAAUAGGUACGACCUAUUCAAAUAG